GUGCCCGUAGCUCAGUUGGAUAGAGCAACGGAUUUCUAAUCCGUCGGUCGCAGGUUCGAUUCCUGCCGGGCACA
rnacentral:tRNA from 1 species